CAGCAGCCGCGGGAAUACGUAGGGUGCAAGCGUUAAUCGGAAUUACUGGGCGUAAAGCGUGCGCAGGCGGUUCUAUAAGACAGAUGUGAAAUCCCCGGGCUCAACCUGGGAACUGCAUUUGUGACUGUAGAGCUGGAGUACGGCAGAGGGGGAUGGAAUUCCGCGUGUAGCAGUGAAAUGCGUAGAUAUGCGGAGGAACACCGAUGGCGAAGGCAAUCCCCUGGGCCUGCACUGACGCUCAUGCACGAAAGCGUGGGGAGCAAACAGGAUUAGAGACCCCUGUAGUCCCUGUCUUCUUAUA
rnacentral:rRNA from 1 species